rnacentral:rRNA from 1 species
UAAUACGUAUGGAGCUAGCGUUGUUCGGAUUUACUGGGCGUAAAGGGCUUGUAGGUGGCAAGACAAGUCGGAUGUGAAAUCUCCGGGCUUAACCUGGAAAUUGCAUUCGAAACUGUCUCACUAGAGUGUCGGAGAGGGAAAUGGAAUUCCUGGUGUAGGGGUGAAAUCUGUAGAUAUCAGGAAGAACACCGGUGGCGAAGGCGGUUUCCUGGCCGACUACUGACACUGAGGAGCGAAAGCUAGGGGAGCAAACAGGAUUAGAUACCCUGGUAGUCCUAGCCGUAAACGUUGUGCACUAGGUGUAGGUGAGUUAAUUCACUUGUGCCGCAGCUAACGCAUUAAGUGCACCGCCUGGGGAGUAUGCUCGCAAGGGUG